rnacentral:lncRNA from 1 species
UACAGCACGUAUAGGUCACACUGGAAUGAAAGCUGACGAGAUAUUAGAAAAUGUCAUAGCUGCAGCUGAGGUGAUUGCCAAGAAGUUACCAAAGAACUGGAAGAAUGUAAAAAUUCUUCACCUCAAAACAGCCGAUUUAUACCGCACAAAUCUCCAACUUGGAUGAGCUUGACAAAGAGCCAUCUGUCCACAAACAGGAAGAACAGAAGGAAAAGAAAAGAAGGGAAAAGAAACCGAAGAAAGCAGGUAAAAAACUGUCUUCAAGUGAAGUUGCUGUGACAACUGAAAUGAAUGCUACUGCUGCUAACCAGGAGCUAGAGAUGAAAGAAAAAGCAGAAGUAGUCCAAGAACCGGAUGAUGAUGACGAUGGAGAAAUUCCGCAACUAGUGCCUAUUCAGAAAACAACUGGCCUAGCUGAGCUGAAGAAAAUGGAACCAAAUCAGAGUCCAGAAAAAGGUGACAAGCUGGGCAAGACAACUAAAACACGCCUUGGUAAGAGAAAAAAAAAUCUACCUCGGGAGACUCCAAAAACGAAACAUAAAGUUACUGAAGAGCGAGCAGACUUGCAGAUAUCACCAAAACAAAAAAAAGUCAAGCAGUUCAGCAUGCCAAAGGAGGCAAUAAAGGAAAAAGAGCUGAAAAAGACUCCCCAGAAGCCUGAAGCAAAGUCUUUUGCAGCACCUAAAGCUGGCAAACUAGUACAGUCAGCCAAGAAAUCUUCCAAAACACCACAAUAAACACCCAAGAAAAAAUGCACAGCCCACACUCAGCCUGAAUGUUGUCUACUGCAACAUUUUAUAUAGUCAGUCAAUGUUGUCUUUUUUUUUUUUAGGAAGCAAAUACAUUCAUGAAAUAAUGUACAUUCUUAAGAAAAUCUGAUCUAGGAGCUUUUUCACUGAGACCUGUAAUGAUUCAUUUGUUUCCUUCUAAUGGAGGAGUUGGAACAAAUAAACACACUAACGUGGUUGGUUGUAUUUCUUAA